rnacentral:lncRNA from 1 species
ACUAACAAAAUUUCGUAGCUAAAGAAUGCCAUGGCCGGGUGCAGUGGCUCACGCCUAUAAUCCCAGCACUUUGGGAGGCCGAGGCGGGCGGAUCACGAGGUCAGGAGAUUGAGACCAUCCUGGCUACGACGGUGAAACCCCGUCUCUACUAAAAAUACAAAAAAUUAGCCGGGUGUGGUGGCGGGCGCCUGUAGUCCCAGCUACUCUGGAGGCUGAGGCAGGAGAAUGGCAUGAACCCAGGAGGCAGAGAUUGCAGUGAGCCAAGAUCACGCCCCUGCACUCCAGCCUGGGUGACAGAGCCAGACUCCGUCUCAAAGGAAAAAAAAAAAAAAAAAAAAAGAAUGCCAUGCCAGGAGAAGACAGCUGGUUUCAAAUCCCUGCCCCCAGGCAAGUAAAACCCUGACUUGCUCAAGACAGAAGAUCUUUUCUCCUGUUUUUCAAAAUAAACAUAUAUAGGGAUGGACCCUGUGCAUUGUGGCCUGCCUUGGUGUCCUAGAAUUGGAGCCAGUCUUUAGCUUAAUGUCUGAAGUAUUUAUACGGCCAAUAUGUGUUUUCUUAUGUCAGACCACACUGUCUUUUUGAAUAUCAGUUCAUUUCCUCUCACCGAGUGCUUUUCGGUGAGAGGCAAAGAGAAAGAAUGAACAAUCAAGUAUUGACAGACUGGCAUUAGCAGGACAGAGCCAUACUAGUGACAAGGGCAUCCCAAGGCACUUGCCCAGAGCUGCAGAGUUGUGUGUGCCAUACCUGCGGCUCAAAGGGAAGGCCUUCUAUCCCCUGAGUUUCUAUCAGCUGAAAAUGGCAACUGCUGUCUCAGUAAAAGCUCUGUCUUGACUGCAGAGGCUCCAAAAGCAUUCACAGUUGAGGGGGAGAAAGACAGAAAGAAGAAGCCAAAGAUAACCUGAUCCCUGCCUGUCUGUUGGCACCUGUCAUCCUCUGGCUUCUGCUCCCAAAAGCAAGUCUGGAUGACUGAGUUUUGUGGACAUGGCACUCCCGGAGACAGCAGUGGCCACCAUGGCACCCAGAGUUUGCCCAAGUACUGAAUGUUUUGUGAGCAACCAUGUUCCCCAAGUAGGUAGCCAGCGCUGCAGAAACCAAACAGCCUCUUAGCUACCUGACUUUAAAAGGAAUGACCUAGGUGUUCUGCCAAAGGAGUUAUCUAUCAUCUCUGGCAAACUUGACAAUCAUCACUUACCUCGACAACCCUGCCCCACAUCACUUUAUAAAGUCAGCAGGAUGUCUUCUCACCCACCCUGUGCUGGUGUCUAACAAAUUUAUCUUGUCAUGCUCAAAUGUGUUUGGCAGCCACACCGAUCGGCUGGGUGCUGAACCGCCUCUCUGUAAUUGUAGCAUCAAAAUGACAACAGCAGCAGAGCAGCGAAUCUUGCACAGCCCCACAGCAUGCCUGAGACAAGACUCCAACAAGUAAUAAUUAGCUUUUUUUCUCCUGCCGCCUACAGUACCUGUCUAACUAAAGAGCUUCCCAAAGUGGAGGGAAAGGCCAUAGAAUCCAGGUGUCAUUCAGAGCCAGUCCUUGCUGAAAUGUGGUCUUCCAGUGGAAGCACCUGUAUUAUUGAGAGGAAAAAGUGUUGGAUGCAAAGUAACACCAGGACUAGAGAGAAAGAGAAAGGUGAACCAUCCUAAGGAGCUUUGGAUACUUUUUUAGAAGGAUAAAUAUUAUGCUUACUGAGGAGAAAAAAAAAAGCGAUCACAGAAAAAUUUCACAGCUAAUAUUUUUACAAAAGUUGUGCCAGACAUUACAGAGUGAAAACGUCUCUCAAGGUGGAAUGCUUUAGAGAGCAAAGGCUUAGCAUAGACCUAGACCCUUGUGUGGGUAUGACAUGACAUGACAUGUCCAUGUCAAAAUUCACUUUAGUCAGAACCAGAGUAUUGAUAAACAAAAUGUCAGUUACCUGGAGCAGUCCUGGAGAGGUUAAGACAUUCUAUACUGUUCUACGUCAACCAUUUCUACAAAGUUGUCCAGACACCUAAAAGCAGCUUUCUUGGUUAUCCAGAUGCCAGAAUCAACCUUGUAUCUGACAAUGCACAUCUGUUGAUUCUAAAGUAUAUUUAUGUGUGUGUGUAUGUGUGUGUAUACAGCACAUAUUUACAUCUAUGAAGACAUAGACACUUACAGAGACCCACAUGAGCUGGCACUUUCUGAGCCUUUACAGCCUUUAAGACUCGGAGGUUGAGAAUUAGAGACACAAGAGAGGCUGUGGAUGGCCUAUUAAAAUGAUUAAAGAUGUAAAUUCAGUGCCAUUUUAAAACUGUUCAUAUUUAUCAAACAAUUACUGUCUACAGCUACAUUUUUUGUUAACUUACUUAAAGUCAUGUCGCAAGAAAGAUCAAACCCAUGAAUGCUUAGUAGCUAAGGCUAGUGUUCAAAAGCACUCUAAAAGACAUUUUGUCCACAUUUUGGAAAAGAAAAUAUUUGCAUGUUUAAUUCAUAAUUUAGGCUAUCUUUGAGUAUACUGUAAAGUGCUGUGUGAUAUAAUAUCAAUAAAGUACUUAUUAAAUGGCACUUUAAUGUUUUCUUUUAAAAUAACGCACUGUUCUAAACUUCAGUAUUGACUAUUGACUCGUGCAUAGAAUCCAAUGCUGUAAUUAGAAAGUAAUCUGUGACUAGAAUAGACCUUUGUCCCUGUUAGUAGCCCUGUUGCCAUGUUCAGGCUUUUAAAAAAUGCUUUUGUGUCACCAAAUAUAUCUAUAAAGAAAACAAAAUUUCUGUUCAGAGGCCUCUGAAACUUGGCUUUCUUACAUGUGGUUGGUUUAUGUGACAAUCCCUAUGAAAUGAGUGGACGUAUGAUUUUUGAAUUAAAUGACUUUUCC